UACGUAGGGUGCAAGCGUUGUCCGGAAUUAUUGGGCGUAAAGAGCUCGUAGGCGGUUUGUCGCGUCUGCUGUGAAAGUUCGGGGCUCAACCCCGGAACUGCAGUGGGUACGGGCAGUCUAGAGUGCGGUAGAGGAGACUGGAAUUCCUGGUGUAGCGGUGGAAUGCGCAGAUAUCAGGAGGAACACCAGUGGCGAAGGCGGGUCGCUGGACCGCAACUGACGCUGAGGAGCGAAAGCGUGGGGAGCGAACAGG
rnacentral:rRNA from 1 species